CUCUGUCCAUCUUCGGUUCCGCGGCAAAGAGGACGGCUCAGGGCGGGCGGUGUACGUCGGGCAGGAGCGCCGAAAGUUCGUGAUCCGACCUGGUUCUUGAAUCUACCGAUGUUCACCGCCCGGCUUGAGGUUUGUCGAUUUGAAGUCCGCCGAUCAGAUCAAUAGCGGCUGUGAGCAGAGUUUGUCGUUGAGCAGAGGAAACAGAUCGACGGGUGGACGCUGUUGCUGUAGAUCGACGAUGGUAACGAGGCGAGCGCUCAGUGCAGAGGGGGGUCGUUGUUGCUAUCGUGACGACAGGCCGAUCGAAAGAGAAAUUGCUGUCGACCGAAGGGAUAGCCGAGGAAGGGAGAAAACCAAUACCGGAGAAAGAAGAGAUUGCUGU
rnacentral:lncRNA from 1 species